rnacentral:siRNA from 1 species
UAUUGUCGCUAUGGUUGCUGC